CUCUGUAAAGUGAGGGAUUGCCUGAUUCAGGUCGGCGGGCCUGAAACAGUUUCCUUCGCUCUGCUCCCCGAGCAGACCGCCAA
rfam:Synechococcus WH7803 complete genome sequence.